rnacentral:tRNA from 1 species
GGAGAGAUGGCUCAGAGGUUAAGAGCACUGACUGUUCUUCCAGAGGUCCUGAGUUCAAACCCCAGCAACCACA